rnacentral:rRNA from 1 species
UACGAAGGGUGCAAACGUUGCUCGGAAUCAUUGGGCGUAAAGCGCACGUAGGCGGCUUCGCAAGUCGGAUGUGAAAUCCCUCGGCUCAACCGAGGACGUGCAUCCGAAACUGCGGAGCUUGAGUACUGAAGAGGAUCGCGGAAUUCCCGGUGUAGAGGUGAAAUUCGUAGAUAUCGGGAGGAACACCGGUGGCGAAGGCGGUUCUCUGGGCCUUACCUGACGCUGAGGAGCGAAAGCGUGGGGAGCGAACAGG